GACGAACGCUGGCGGCGUGCUUAACACAUGCAAGUCGAACGGAAAGGCCCUGCUUUUGUGGGGUGCUCGAGUGGCGAACGGGUGAGUAACACGUGAGUAACCUGCCCUUGACUUUGGGAUAACUUCAGGAAACUGGGGCUAAUACCGGAUAGGAUCUCCUGCUGCAUGUUGGGGGUUGGAAAGUUUCGGCGGUUGGGGAUGGACUCGCGGCUUAUCAGCUUGUUGGUGGGGUAGUGGCUUACCAAGGCUUUGACGGGUAGCCGGCCUGAGAGGGUGAACGGCCACAUUGGGACUGAGAUACGGACCAGACUCGUACGGGAGGCAGAAGUGGGGAAUAUUGCACAAUGGGCGGAAGCCUGAUGCAGCAACGCCGCGUGCGGGAUGCCGUCCUUCGGGUUGUAAACCGCUUUCGCCUGUGACGAAGAGUGAGUGACGGUAAUGGGUAAAGAAGCACCGGCUAACUACGUG
rnacentral:rRNA from 1 species